rnacentral:rRNA from 1 species
GUUUAAGUUGUGCCUUCCCUCCCCUCUCUCAANACACACCCUGAUUUUAGAUGCUAAACGGGACUGGACUUGGUUAGUACUUGAAUGGAAGAUCUUCUGGAAAUGUACCAAGUGCUGUAGGCC